rnacentral:rRNA from 1 species
GGGUCAGUAGGCUGGUCGUGCCACCGGUACGUACUGGUCUCACUGAUUCCUCCUUCCUGAAGAACCGUAAUGCCAUUAAUUUGGUGUUGCGUGGAAACAGGACUGUUACUUGCAAAAAAUUAGAGUGUUUAAAGCAAGCUAACGCUUGAAUACAUUAGCAUGGAAUAAUGAAAUAGGACGAUCGAUCCUAUUUUGUUGGUUUCUAGGAUUGACGUA